rnacentral:lncRNA from 1 species
ACCUCAAAAUAGUGCAAUAAAUCUCUCUCAAUAAAAGAGUAAACUACAUUCAUAUAAGAGUGAGUCUCUCAAAAACUAAAAUAAUUGGGUUCUCCAUUAAAGCAAUUCUCGAGUGGGAAAGCUAUUUAUCCAACGAUCCCUUUACCUCGAUCAGAAGAAACAGGAAUAGGUAAAGUGGUCUUUGCAAGAAAAAGUCAACACAAAGGGCAUGAGAAGUACUAAAAACUAGCAGUCCUCAAUGGAUACUAUCAUCAACGAUAACGAUUUACCUGCUAGGUCUACCAGAGGCAAAGAAAUACUAAACUGCUAAAAGAAAGUGGACAAGUAAAACAACAGUAAGAAACUACUACUACUAUACCUCUAAACUAGAUGUCGAAUGAAUGCAUGCAUCAUGUAGGAUGAACAACAGCUACUAGUAUACUAAAUCAACCGACCGGCUCGAUGUAACAUAUCG